UGCCCAAGAGAUCGGGAUAACACCUGGAAACAGAUGCUAAUACCGGAUAACAACAGAUGAUGCCUAUCAACUGUUUAAAAGAUGGUUCUGCUAUCACUCUUGGAUGGACCUGCGGUGCAUUAGCUAGUUGGUAGGGUAACGGCCUACCAAGGCGAUGAUGCAUAGCCGAGUUGAGAGACUGAUCGGCCACAUUGGGACUGAGACACGGCCCAAACUCCUACGGGAGGCAGCAGAC
rnacentral:rRNA from 1 species